AAAAAGCACUUGCUAAAUGGAGGACUGCUUUGAGAUGGCUGCUAUUCUCCGGCUUAUUGCCUCCUGUCGGCCAUGGUUUCACAUGAGGUCCGGGGUGUCAGGUCCGCUUCCACCAAUAAAGGCUGUGAUUGACACUAGCGGGGGAGACUUGAGCUGGGAAAAGAAACUGAAUCUCAAUGUAUGAGGGUUGGAGGCUGGGGACAAGAUAACGAUUAGGAAGCUGUUUCCCUGAACAUGCUGAGAGAGAUGCAAAACCAGACGCUUGAGGCAAACCGCAGAGAAGUCACCAUACAUGUCCCUGAUGGAAGAGAACCUGAGAUUAC